rnacentral:rRNA from 1 species
UGGGAAACUUACCUCAAAACUAGUUCUUCCUAUAGAGCCGUAGUAGACCACUACGUUGAUAGGCUGGGUGUGGAAGCGUGGUAACACGUGAAGCUGACCAGUACUAAUAGCUCAAUUGGCUUGAUUUAUG